CCCCGCCAGCCCCUCCGCCGCACAGGCCCGGCCCCUUAAAGGGACACGCACGGGCCGCGCGUCCGCCGCCAGUCGGCGCUCCCGCAGCUGCCGGGCGACCCCCAGGCGGGGGCGGGUCGGCCGGCCCGAGUCUGCCCGCGGCUUCCCGGAACAAUAAGCUCCGGGCCCGAGCGCCGUGGACCCGCCCGGGACCCCGAGAGAAGGCGCCGCGGCGACCUCUCUGUCAGGCCCGCCGAGGCGGCGGGGGGCUGAGGCGUGACCCGGCCCGGCCCCAGGCUGUUGGCAGGCGACGUCGGGGGAACGGCCCGAGCCCGCCGGGACUCUAACCUUCCUGCCCCGCCGCCCGUAGCACCGACGUCCGCGGCCGCGCCGACGACGGCCCCUCCCCCGGGUCCCGGGACUCUGAGAAACUCCUCAAGCGUUCACAUUGGAUUUUUCUGUCAAGACUACAUUGUUGACCAGCUAAUAACAUCCAGUGUUUUCAGAGCCCUUCGUGAUGCUGGUCACCCUCCACUGGGCAGUCGGUCCAGCUAAAACCCUGCCUCCAGCCCCCAACGUGAAGUUCCAAGUGCAGCCUGGCUGACGUGGUAUACAGUGGGACUACUACUUCCCUAACCCAAGACGCCUGACCUCCAGUAACACCACCCACGAUGACACCAGGAAAACCCCAUAGCCAACAUUAUACUUAAUGGUGAAGGAAUGAACACCUUCCCCCUAAGGUCAGGAACAAGACAAAGAUGGCGACUUUCAUCUCUUAUUUCAACAUCGUACUAGAGGUUCCAGCCAGGCAAAGCAGAUGGAACACGAACCUGACCAAUGCCUUUAAAGACCAGGGACAUUUUCUGGAUGGAACUAAUGCCUUGGAAACAGCACAGACUCAAGUAAGUUCCCUGACGGUCAGGGGUUUUCAUCAUAAACAUAAUGAGGAUAAUUCAGCACCUUCUGUUUAAACAGCACACCAGGCUAGGAGCACCUCUCCACUCGGGAAACUUCCCUGGUUGACCCCACUGCAGCCUGCAGGUAUGAUCUUCUCUCAGCAGAGCAGAAUGUCAAGUGUUUGUCUGCUGCCUGUUUACACCCAAGGCUCACAACCUUUACACCACCUCACAGAAUCACAGACUGACAGAGUACAAGGGUCACCUGGAGGUCAUCAGUCCAGCCUCCUAGUCCAUAGGUGAAAACUCUGAGGCAAUUCCACAGAACCUACCCCAUGGUCCAGAAAACAGGCAUCUAUACUGAAGAGGGCGCUAGAAAUAACACAGGCAGACCGGCUGUGGUCUAUGGAAGGCGGCAGCCCAGGUAAUUUUCCAUGCCUCUCUCAAGAACUCAUGCUUAUAAAUGCUUAUCAUUUUUUAAGUUUACUUAUCUUGAGAGAGAGAGAGAGAGAGAGAGAGAGCAUGAGGGACAGAGAAAAAGGGAGAGAGAGAAAAUCCCAAGCAGGUUCUGCCCUUUCAGUGCAGAGCCCGAUAAGCUCUUUUUUAAUUUAAAAAAAAUUUUUUUAAAUGUUUUUAUUUAUUUUUGAGACAGAGAGAGACAGAGCAUGAGCAGGGGAAGGACAGAGAGAGAGGGAGGAAUAGAAUCCGAAGCAGGCUCCAGGCUCUGAGCUGUCAGCACAGAGCCCGAUGCGGGGCUCGAACUCACAGACGGCGAGAUCAUGACCUGAGCUGAAGUCGAACACUUAACCGACUGAGCCACCCAGGCGCCCCUUAAAUUUUUUUAAUUAAAAAAAAUUUUCAUUUUUUAAGUAGGCUUCGCACCCAGCAUGGAGCCCAUUGCAGAGUUUGAACUCACAGCCCUUGAGAUCAAGACCUGAGCUUAGAUCGAGUCAGACACUUAACCAACUGAGGCACCCAGGUGCCCCCCCCACCUUUUUAAAGAAAUAAAACACUGCAGACAAAUAUGCAGCCCCUAUGUACCUCUCUCCAAGUCCACCGCCCCUCCGACAUCCCAGAGGGAACCCCCAGCCUCAGGUUGGUCUUUUCGCCCCUGUGUUUUGUUGUUGUUGCUUUUUUUAAAUGCACACACAUGUAUCGAUGAACGAUAUUCAGCUAUGCUUCACAUGUGUUUAGACAGAUGCUACCAUUUGGCCCGCUUCAAUCCCGCUUGAGAUUAUCCAGCUGGCAGCUCGAGCCCUGGCUCUCUCCCUCCCUGACUCACUCAGCUCCUCUCUGGUGAAGGGCUAGCGGUCCCGUGCCCAGCUGCUCACUAGUACAAUGAGCAGCACAGGCACCGUUCUGCCUCGAGGCUCUUCACAUACAUAUGUGGGGACCGCCUCCAGACUGUCCACCGGGAAAGGGAACACUGCUGACCCAUAGAGCGAGCAGCGCGCUAGCUAACAUUUACUGAGCAUUCACUCCACAACAGCACUGUGGUAAGAGGUUUCUCCCCAUUGUAUGAUUCUCCACAGCCUCUCUUAGAGAGUGGAUUCUGCCACUCCCCCAAUUUACUAUUGAAGAAAUGGUGGCUUACUAAGAAUAAGUAUCUUGCUGAGGCUGUACAGCUGAUGGAAGGAAAGAGCAGGUUGCUGAACCCCCAAUGUGGGGGCCAUGGCUCUUAACUACUGUGCCAGUGGUUCUUGAGUGUGGCCCCGGAAGAGCAGCAGCAGCAGCAUCUGGAAACUUAUUAGAAACGUGAAUCCUUAGGCCUCACCCUUUGGCCAAUGGAAUCAGGAACUCUGAAUGGGUUCAGUGACCUGUGGUUCCAGAAGCCUGCCUAGAGGGGCUCCUGGGUGGCUCAGGCGAUUAAGCGACAGGCUCCAGGUUUCUUCUCAGGUCAUGAUCUCACAGUUCCUGAGGUGAAGCCCUGUGUGGGGCUCUGCUCUGAUGGUAUGGAGCUUGCUUGGGAUUCUUUCUCACCUCUCUCUCUGCCUGUUGCCCCCUCACAUUCUCUCUCUCAAAACAAACAAACAAACAAACAAACAAACAAACAAACAAACAUUAAAAAAAAAAAAAAAAGAAGCCAGCCUGGGGUUCUGCUACCAGGGUCUGAGAGCCACUGCUCUAACCCACCCCCCCUCCUCAACCUCCAAACCAUGGGUUAGUUACACAGAGCCACGGGGACCACUAUUUUCCUUUAGGAUUUGGAAUCUGGAAGGUUUAACUACUUUGUCAUGAGCUCAGGGCACAUACGUGCUCCUGUCUCUGGUAACCAUGAUUCCACAAGCAUCCUGAAGGAAAAUGAGGUAAAUGAGUUUUUACUUUACAAGAAGUUGCCAAGAUGCUCUCGAAAGCAAUUUUAUAGAUUAUGCUCUGGCCAGGAACAGACAAAGGCUCUGGUUUCUGCACAUUCUCGCCACCACUCUGCAUUGUGGAAACGUGCUAAUUUUUGCUAGUCUAAGGGUGGACUUUCACUAAGGUUUCAACCUACACCUCCCUGGUGGUGGUGCUGAGCGCUCCUUCUGAUCAGUCAGCUGUGCUUGCUGAGAGGGAUCACACAGGUUGGCAGCAAAGAGGUUCUGUAGCGUUAUAACCAGAGGAGUCUGAGAGAUGGUCCACACUGACUGAACUCUGAAACAGCUCUAAGGAACUCUCAUAUAGAAGCCCAGGGUAGUCAGAGGCCCUGAAGCCUCACACAUGAACUGGGUGGGGACCUGACCUAGUCCUUUCACCUGUGCGGUGGCCCCCAAGUGGGGGGGGGGGUUCUCCAGGGGCUCUGAAGACUCUAGCCUGUCCCAGAGUGGAAAGGGACUGACCCAGGAUCUCAAUGAGGCAGGAAGGGAAGCCAGGCUUGUGUGACCCAGGCAGCAAACCCACACACCUCCACGGUGAGACAUCUGCCCACAAACCCCUUACUACCUCAGCAUCAUACUUUUCGUUGAUGGCAGGCUCAGUGGUGACCAGUUUCAUCCUGCUGGCAAACCGCAGUGAAGACAGCUGAAAAACAGAUCAGACAGCCCUCUAUGUCUUUGGCCAAUUGCUUAUGAAUAGAGAUAUUUUCAAAACAGGCCAAAGGAGUCCACUAGGAAAGACGAAUUUCUGCAUAUAAGUCUACUCCAAUGUGAAGUGUGGGGUCUCCUUGGGAGUUCCACCCGAGUCCCUCUGGAGGGGCAGCCAGGCAGGGGUAAUUAUGGCCGCAGGCCCAGGAGGCAGCCACGUAAGUAGGCACUUGAGAAACAGCCCCGGCACUGUGCCCCACUGCACCGAUGUUACACGACAGGUGGAGGACUGUCCCUUGGCAACGAGGAACUGCCAGUGGUAGCAUGGGGCGGGCCCUGAGAUCCCAGCCUCACACGAUGGUGGGCUGUCGCAGGGCCCCGAAACAGGGGGGCGGGCCUGGGGGAGGGCCACCCAGAAGUGGCCCAGAAGAAGGCCCGAAAGCGCUCUUCAGUCCACCCUGGUGAUUAAGAACCCUACCGCUGACCCACCACGCGACCUCAAACAGGUUUUGUAGCUUCUCUGUAAAGUCAGGGAGACUUCAUGAAGAGGUGGGUGGUGUGCUCUGGAUGGAGCUGGCAGGAGGUCCUCCGGAGGAGGCCCCUGUCACUAGUCGGAGCUGCUUCUGUGUGGGGUGGAUUCGGACUCUCCUGCUCCAAACACAGCAGCGAGUGUGGCCACGACCCCCUUGCUGUGUUUACUCCCACACAUACGUGCAGCGGCCCUGAAUAAAGCAAUGUGAUCCACGACAGGAACACUGUCAAGGUUUUAAAGCAUUUGGAGAAGAGACUCAUUAGCUUCCACACCCCAAUAUGCCUUCGUCCCAACCCCCUGAGGCCCCUCCAGCAGCUCCUCUGGGCUCCAUGGGCACCGUCCUGGGUCACAGGAUGGGAUGGCGGGGUACCAGCAGAAUGGCUUUCUAUGCGGUGACCAUCUCAGGGGUGGGAAUGAGAGAGAGGGGCCUUCCACCGUCUUGGAGGGCAUUGCUCAACAAGGCAGUCAGGAGGCCCAAUUUUCAUAUGGCUCCUCUCGGGGUUCACUCGUGCUUUGUUAUACUAUGCGGUUCCUGAAGCCUUCCCCCCCUGGGGAUGCUGCCUGCACGUCAGUGGGAGCUCCCUCCCCGGCCUCCCAAGCCCCAGGGCGCUCUCUCUGGAAGCUGGAAUGGUCCCUGAUGCAAGAAACUGGGAGGCCCUGCAGGAGCAUCUUGCCCUGCAACGUGCCUGGAAAGGACCUGUUUCACCUAAGUGGAUUCGCCAGAUGACUGAGGCUUGCCUUAAACAUCCACACCUGACAAAAUGUCUAUGGAGCACUUUCCAAAUCUGUCUUAUUUAUGAUGAGUGGCCCUUCAGAGGAAGAAGGGAAGACUCAGCCGGAAUGCCCAGUUGUGUGAGCUCACCUGUGUCACUGCCUCAGCCAUUAGAGCCCAUAUUCCUGCCUCUGGGUCUCCUAAGCUUGUCCCCUCCCAGGUCCCCUGGGUCCUGCUGCUGGGUUAAUCUUCCUGAGUCACAACUCUGGCCCCAGCCCUCCCUGCUCAAACCCCAUGACACCCCAGCAACCAACAGAACAGCCAAGGCGGCACCCUGGCCGCCAGGACCCGAGCAGACUCUGGAGUCUUUUCUCCCCCUUCUCCUUCCUGAACACCACCCCCCACUCCCCCUGCAGCAGCCAGGUGUUCCCGGCAUGGGCCACACCAUCAGGCCCACAGUUGCCUCUGCCAGAAGCAUCUCUGCUUUCUUUUUAUUUUAUUUUAUUUUAUUUUAUUUUAUUUUAUUUUAUUUGUUUUUAAAUGUUUACUUAUUGUGAGAGAGAGCGCGCACACGUGCGUAAGGGCAGAGAGGGAGAGAAAGUAUCCCAAGCAGGCUCUGUGCCGUCAGCACAGAGCCCAAUGUGGGACUUGAACCCACAAGCCAUGAGAGCCUAAUCCUGAACCAAAACCAAGAGCCAGCCACGUAACGAAUUGAGCCACCCAGGCAACUCGCCUCUCUGCUUUCUGUACCACCAACCCUUUAAACCCAGCCAGCUCGGUGCCCACCUUCCUCACCCCACUUUCAGGAAAAAUACCUUUUCCUCUGAAGGAUUCUUUCGUCCAGACCUCUCACAUUACUCAGGGCCAUGGCAAGGAACUCUGAGGCGCGAGGCCACGUAUAAGUCACCUCUACCGAGCUGCUCUUCCCCCCAUACGCACACACAGUACGUGCUCAAUGCCCAUCAGUUUGCACCAGCCUCAUAACCACAGCCUGGAACCCUGUGGUGCUUCUAAGAUUUUUCAGCGUGUAAUUAUGAAGAACAAGAAAUCAGCUGCCCUAGAUCCCAAUUCACAGGAGCAGCACCGUGGGAAGCAUGGUCCUUGCCACCACAAAACCCUCUUCACAUAGACUCCCACGGUGCGCCUGCUCCCUGCCUUGCCUCUUCCUCAACACAGCCUCUGCCCCUUGGUACUUGGUAUUUGGAUCCCGCAACAAUUUUGGUUGAUUCAGUCCCCGGAUCUCUUCCCUCUUGACAAUGUCUAUGGCCCAGUAUGCCAGCUUAGCCAGCCCGGAGCCAGCCUUACCCAGCCCUGGAACCCACAAGAAGGGAUUCCAACCAGGCCGCCUCGGCUAUCUUUACGUACCGUCUCUUCUAACUGGGCGGCUUCUCCGUAGAUGUUUGUCAAGAGAACCAUAUUGCAAUUUCCCCCUGCAGAAAGCAGGACACAGAAGGGCCAUGAACCAUGUGGGUAUUCUGCCAAGAGAUUCUUUCAAGGCUGGUGGGGGUCUGCUAUGGGUUGAGAGUUUGUGUCCUGACAAAAUUCCUAUGUUGAAGUCCUAUCCCCAAGUGUGAUGGUAUCUGGAGAUGGGGCCUGGGGGAGGUGAUCAGGUUUAGAGGAGGUCCUGAGUGUGGAGCCGGCAUAAUGGGAUUAGUGCCCUUAUAUGAGAGAAAGAGAAAGACCAGAACUCUGUCUCUCUUUCUGGUCCCUUUCUCUUUUCUUUCUUGCUCUUUGCCAUGUGAAGGCACAGAAAGAAAGCAGCUGUGUAUGAGCCAAAAAGAGCUCUCACCAGGAACCAUCCAUGCUGAACCUUGAUCUGGGACUUCCAGCCUCCAGAGCUGUGAGGAAUAAAUGUCUAUUGUUGAAG